GGAGGAAAGGUGGGGAUGACGUCAAGUCCUCAUGGCCCUUAUAGGUGGGGCUACACACGUCAUACAAUGGAUGGUACAAAGGGUCGCCAACCCGCGAGGGGGAGCCAAUCCCAUAAAGCCAUUCGUAGUCCGGAUCGCAGUCUGCAACUCGACUGCGUGAAGUCGGAAUCGCUAGUAAUCGUGGAUCAGAAUGUCACGGUGAAUACGUUCCCGGGUCUU
rnacentral:rRNA from 1 species